AGGACGAACGCUGGCGGCGUGCUUAACACAUGCAAGUCGAGCGAGGCCCUUCCUUCGGGGAGGUGCCCUAGCGGCGAACGGGUGAGUAACACGUGGGCAACCUGCCCCUAGCACUGGGAUAACUCCGGGAAACCGGGGCUAAUACCGGAUAUGACCUUCUUGGGCAUCCUCGAAGGUGUAAAGGAUUCUGGCUAGGGAUGGGCCCGCGGCCUAUCAGCUUGUUGGUGGGGUAAUGGCCUACCAAGGCGACGACGGGUAGCCGGCCUGAGAGGGUGACCGGCCACACUGGGACUGAGACACGGCCCAGACUCCUACGGGAGGCAGCAGUGGGAAUCUUGCACAAUGGGCGAAAGCCUGAUGCAGCGACGCCGCGUGAGGGAUGACUGCCUUCGGGUUGUAAACCUCUUUCAGCAGGGACGAAGCGAAAGUGACGGUACCUGCAGAAGAAGCACCGGCCAACUACGUGCCAGCAGCCGC
rnacentral:rRNA from 1 species